rnacentral:lncRNA from 10 species
UAAACACAGAGCUCCUCUAAACUACCAAGCAUGUUAUUAUUAUUAUUUUAAUUUUUAAAACAUUUCUAACUUAACAGAAACAUUGGCCGGGCAGCACUAAUUGUAUCAUUCCUAUGUACUACCAACUUCUCACCAGUAUUGAACUUGAUCUUCAAAACUCUUCCCAGAUAGGGCUAUUUUUCCACUGACUCUAUUGUUAUUCCUUCCCAUUUUCCCUCCUCUGUUUUUGAUGCUUUUUAUUUUGGUUAGCAUGUUUCUGAUCAGCAUGAAAACUGCGCAGGAGCUUUUCUGUCUUGCAGAGCUAGUUAAUGAGAUUGUUGCUGCCUUCAGAUUCUAUAAAGGACUUCUCCAAUAUUGGAUUAAAGAAUGAAGAAAGGAUCAAAUUGAGACAUCCAGGGGGGAAGAGUUCCCUGGCAAAACUCCAAUCUGCCUGAGCACUGAGGUGGAGCCACAGAAGUCCGGGUCAUUUGCACCUGGGAGGAGCCUGGCCCCUCCUCUUCCUGUGUGGAAUCUGGGAUUUAAUCUGUGAGGAGGGAAGGCCAAGGGCAGGAAGCACAGGCUCUCACUUCACUAAGAGUCUCUGUUUCCCCUUUUUUUCCUUUAUGCCUAAUUAAUAAAUCCCAUUUUUCUCACUCUUCAAAUAGUCUUCAAGCCUAAAUUUUCAUGACCAUGGAACAAGGACCCCAUCUUUAG